CCCUAAUCCCUCCUCACCACACUCAGCCGCACCCCCAGUUUUCCCCCUUUCCUUUCCUAAACGCAAAACUCAUUCACACAGAACUGAAAAAGAAGCACAAAGAGAGAGUGGGAUCCGAGAGAAGAGGGAAGAGCGUCGCCGGAGGGGGCUUGGCACCGUCGCCGCCUCCGUUCAUCGGGCCCUGCUACGCCGUCGCCACCAUCCCCAGCGUCGCCCAGCCUUGUCCGCGCUGCAGUGCCUCCUGUCAGCCAUUCAUGGAGCCGCGGAGAGUAUCGCCGUUGAAGCCAUGCCGUCGCAGAGGGAGCCGCGCCUAGCCACCGUCCAGCUCCGCCCGCUCUGCCGUGCCUCUCGUCCCCAUCAGGGUUCGUCGUCGCCGUUUGUGGAGCUGCGAGGAGCGUCGCCGUCGAAGCCACGCCGAUCGUCGCUGCCCAGUCGUCGUUCUGCCUCCCACCAAGCCCGUCCCGCCACUGACGUCACCGAAAGGAGAGCAACCACCAUGAGGAGCCACCGCCGUCCUUGCUCGUCAUCUCCCUUGGAGCCGUCGCUGUCGGGGACCAGCGGAGAGAGAGAACGCGCGACGUUCAGGAAAGAGGACGCGAGUCAGUGACGCAAGGAGGAGUGCGACCCACUGCGUGAAGUUGUGCCGCCGUGCCCUUCGUCGCCACUGCCUUACCGGAGUCUCUGCUGCCAUGGAUACUGCCAUUGGAGUCGCUAGGAACCAAUUUCUGGAGCAGCUCUUGAUGAUUUUGAUGCUGCUACGCAGGUUCCGAGGCUGCUGUUUAGUUUGAUUGCGUUGUUAAUGCGACAUUGAGUGACACAGGUUUGAAGACGCAAUUUGAAGCUGCGAGCGAUUAGUAGGCUUUCUUUAUGGUUUUAAUUGCUUUCAUAGAGUCCCCUCGCCGAUUGUCCCUUGAGAUUUUACUUCAUAUAGAGGGGUAGGUUUGGUAUAUUGUAUAUGAGUUUUAUUUGGUUUCUUUUGUAUAAGAAUUAUUAUCAAUAAUAUUUAUGUGAUUACUAUUGUUUGUUGGAAACCUGUGAUACAUGUCUUUGAUGAACAAAAACAAAAUUUUCUGGUAUUUUUACUAAAAUUAAAUCGCGAUAUCGAACUAGAGGCUCAAUAGUAAAUAGUUAAUAAAGGAAAGCAGGUUGGUAACGCCUUACUUUUGGUACGAUCAUGACGUUCUAGAAGUUGGGUCCUUACAUUUGCACUCUAGUCGUUCAAGUGUGUAGGGUUGAUUCUCUCAAUUCUCCCCUAAUCAUGCUUUCCAAGAUUUGUUUUUUCAUCUAACAAUUAACAAUUAUUCAAUGCAUGCAUACAUUCAUCAUGAGGUCUUUUCAUAGGUUGUAAUGGGGCUUGGGUCAAGGUAGGAUCAUAUAUGGUUAAGUGGACUAGAAUUUGAAUCUUUGAUUGACUUAAGCUUUCCCACCUAACCUAUAUAAUAACCUAUACAAAUUCAAAGCUAACCUAACUACCUAUC